rnacentral:rRNA from 1 species
CUUCGUGCCAGCAGCCGCGGUAAUACGAAGGGGGCUAGCGUUGCUCGGAAUUACUGGGCGUAAAGGGAGCGUAGGCGGACAUUUAAGUCAGAGGUGAAAUCCCGGAGCUUAACUUCGGAACUGCCUUUGAUACUGGGUGUCUUGAGUGUGAGAGAGGUAUGUGGAACUCCGAGUGUAGAGGUGAAAUUCGUAGAUAUUCGGAAGAACACCAGUGGCGAAGGCGACAUACUGGCUCAUUACUGACGCUGAGGCUCGAAAGCGUGGGGAGCAAACAGGAUUAGAUACCCUGGUAGUCCACGCCGUAAACGAUGAUUGCUAGUUGUCGGGAAGCUUGCUUCUCGGUGACGCAGCUAACGCAUUAAGCAAUCCGCCUGGGGAGUACGGUCGCAAGAUUAAAACUCAAAGGAAUUGACGGG